AGCGAACGCUGGCGGCAGGCUUAACACAUGCAAGUCGAGCGCCCGUAGCAAUACGGGAGCGGCAGACGGGAGAGUAACACGUGGGAACGUGCCUUUUGGUUCGGAACAACCCAGGGAAACUUGGGCUAAUACCGGAUAAGCCCUUACGGGGAAAGAUUUAUCGCCAAAAGAUCGGCCCGCGUCUGAUUAGCUAGUUGGUGAGGUAACGGCUCACCAAGGCUACGAUCAGUAGCUGGUCUGAGAGGAUGAUCAGCCUCACUGGGACUAGAGACACGGCCCAGACUCCUACGGGAGGCAGCAGUGGGGAAUAUUGGACAAUGGGCGCAAGCCUGAUCCAGCCAUGCCGCGUGGGUGAUGAAGGCCUUAGGGUUGUAAAGCCCUUUCGGCGGGGAAGAUAAUGACGGUACCCGCAGAAGAAGCCCCGG
rnacentral:rRNA from 1 species